GAUGAACGCUAGCGGCAGGCCUAACACAUGCAAGUCGAGGGGUAACUAGAGUGAUAGCAAUAUUACUUUGGCUAGACCGGCGCACGGGUGCGUAACACGUAUGCAACCUACCUUAUACUGGGGAAUAACUUCGAGAAAUCGGCGCUAAUACCCCAUAACAUUGCGAAGAGGCAUCUCUUUGCAAUUAAAGCUCCGGCGGUAUAAGAUGGGCAUGCGUCCAAUUAGCUAGUUGGUGAGGUAACGGCUCACCAAGGCUACGAUUGGUAGGGGUUCUGGGAGGAUGAUCCCCAACACUGGUACUGAGACACGGACCAGACUCCUACGGGAGGCAGCAGCGAGGAAUAUUGCGCAAUGGACGAAAGUCUGACGCAGACAUGCGGCGUGCAGGAUGACGGCCCUAUGGGUUGUAAACUGCUUUUGUACGGGAAUAAACCCUUCUACGUGUAGGAGGCUGAAGGUACCGUAAGAAUAAGCACCGGCUAACUCCGUGCCAGCCGCCGCAGUAA
rnacentral:rRNA from 1 species